rnacentral:rRNA from 1 species
AAAUUCUGCCCUAUGAUUAAAUUUAAAUGGCUGCAGUAUUUUAACUGUACAAAGGUAGCAUAAUAAUUAGUUUUUUAAUUGAGGACUGGAAUGAAGGAUUAAAUGAAAAGUUUUUUUUAUUAGGUUUAAUUUUUAAAUUUUAUCUUUAAGUAAAAAAGCUUAAUUAUUUUAUUGGGACGAAAAGACCCUAUAGAACUUUAUUAAAUUUUCUAUGUUCUUUAUAAAUUUAAAAAUUUUGUUAGCUAUAUUUAAUUUUAUUGGGGUGAUAGAUAAAACAAACUUUAUUUUUUUUAUUCAUUUAUUUGUGAUUAUUUCGAUUUAUUAUUUAAAUAAAAGACUAAGUUACCUUAGGGAUAACAGCGUGAUUUUUAUGGGGAGUUCUUAUCUAUAUAAAAGUUUGCGACCUCGAUGUUGAAUUAAGAUAAAUUAUUGAAGAAGUAUUUAUUAUAUUAAGUCUGUUCGACUUUUAAAUUCUU